rnacentral:rRNA from 1 species
UACGGAGGGGGCGAGCGUUAUUCGGAGUUAUUGGGCGUAAAGGGCGCGUAGGCGGCUUUACAAGUCAAAGGUGAAAUCCCUCGGCUCAACUGAGGAACUGCCUUUGAAACUGUAAGGCUUGAGUCCGGGAGGGGGUAGCGGAAUUCCCAGUGUAGCGGUGAAAUGCGUAGAUAUUGGGAGGAACACCAGUGGCGAAGGCGGCUACCUGGACCGGAACUGACGCUGAUGCGCGAAAGCGUGGGUAGCAAACAGG